rnacentral:rRNA from 1 species
CUGCCCUUUGUACACACCGCCCGUCGCUACUACCGAUUGAAUGGCUCAGUGAGGCGUCCGGACUGGCCCAGAGAGGUGGGCAACUACCACUCAGGGCCGGAAAGCUCUCCAAACUCGGUCAUUUAGAGGAAGUAAAAGUCGUAACAAGGUCUCCGUUGGUGAACCAGCGGAGGGAUCAUUACCGAGUUUACAACUCCCAAACCCCUGUGAACAUACCAAUUGUUGCCUCGGCGGAUCAGCCCGCUCCCGGUAAAACGGGACGGCCCGCCAGAGGACCCCUAAACUCUGUUUCUAUAUGUAACUUCUGAGUAAAACCAUAAAUAAAUCAAAACUUUCAACAACGGAUCUCUUGGUUCUGGCAUCGAUGAAGAACGCAGCAAAAUGCGAUAAGUAAUGUGAAUUGCAGAAUUCAGUGAAUCAUCGAAUCUUUGAACGCACAUUGCGCCCGCCAGUAUUCUGGCGGGCAUGCCUGUUCGAGCGUCAUUUCAACCCUCAAGCCCCCGGGUUUGGUGUUGGGGAUCGGCGAGCCCUUGCGGCAAGCCGGCCCCGAAAUCUAGUGGCGGUCUCGCUGCAGCUUCCAUUGCGUAGUAGUAAAACCCUCGCAACUGGUACGCGGCGCGGCCAAGCCGUUAAACCCCCAACUUCUGAAUGUUGACCUCGGAUCAGGUAGGAAUACCCGCUGAACUUAAGCAUAUCAAUAAGCGGAGGAA